CAGUCAGAGAACCAGGGGCAGCUGGUUUCAACGGGAAGGUACGUACUUAUAUGCCCCCACCAAUUUCAACGGAGAAAUAUGACCAGCGACAACUACUAAUAUCAGGUGGACCCAAGGUUAUAUGAUUUGUACAUGGCGGUGUUACUGAGCAGAAGGAGAAUAUAGGAAUCACCAGCAGCCCUUCUG